AGAAACAGCGGGUCAGGGCGUCGCAGUUUCUAACGCGCCAUUAAUGACUCUCAGCCUGACACCAUCUGUCUCUGGUCGUCUCUCCUCUCUCCUGAUACUUUCUCCAGUUCCUCGCCACCUGCUGAGGGACAGACAGGCUGUGUGGAUAUUGGUAGGGAUGAAAGUGAAAUAGUGUGCCGAGUCAUGGGACUCAGCAGGCUGCAGCUUGUUUAAUUAGCUCGUUGUCCUGUGUGUCUGUCUCCCUCAACAGGAUGCGCUACAACGGGCUCUGUGAGCAGACGGACCUUUCCUCAUACAGGAUUAUUUCCAAACCACCGAAAAGAUUUGGAGAAAACGUGGAAGCUUAAAAUAAAACCUGAGUUUGGUUGCACUCGGAACUAGAGGGGCACGAUAAUUAUCGGCCUCAUAUGAAGAAAUUAAGGCGUCAUUCUUCUUAUUUCCCAGUAUGAAAUCAGUUAUCGGCCUUUGGAAUGAGAAAACUAUCGGUUAUCGAUUUCAAACAGCAGUUAUUGUGCCUCCCUACUAGGAACUUAUCGGCCUUUUGUACAUUAACAUUUGUGAAUUAAUAUGUUACAAGUAAUCUUGUUUGUUGAUAAUAAAAAAAAACAUUUUGUCCUGGGAAUGAUUUAACUGUAACAAAACUAAAUUUAUGAUUUUUGGGAACAGAAAAAUGGAUGAUUUGAUCAUAAUAUCCAUGGAUUAUGACUUAGCGGGACGAGUACAUCAAGUUAAAUUUCUAGGAAACGUUCUGGAUCAUAAAUUUAACUAGAAAUCUCAUAAAAUAUGUAAACCAAAAACUAAAUCACGGACUUCUAAAUAAAGUAAAAAUGGUUUAGAACUAUCAACUCUCCUGACAUAUUGUUCAUUUGUUGUCAUUAAGUCUUGUACAUUUCUGAGUCAGAAAUGAGAAUAAUUAUAUUUUGUUUGCGGUUUACAUUGUUAAUUUAAUGUAUAUGUAUAUUUAGAGGGGUGAAUAAUAAGUUAUUAGUGAAUAAAAACCAAGUAGAAAAAUGGACACCCCAACAUUAUUUUUCAUUUUUGUAAUAAGUAAGAUAGUUUUGUUUCAUUUCGUCCGUGCAAUUCCGCGCGCGGCCGCUAGGGACGCUGUCGCGUUGGUGGUAUAGAAAGGACUGAGCACACAAGAAGAAUAAAUCUUCCUGUUAUGCUGACGGAAGCUCAACGUGUGUGUCUCAUCUUUUCUAUACCACAGACGCUGUUUUAGGGGAGCAGAAGGAUGAUGUUGUUUUUCUUAGAAAGCCUCAGAAACGGACAUCAAAGAAAUGUCGGAGUUGGUGCUUCCUGAACAAUACGGCUCAAAAAAUAUGGUUGCAGUUCUUCGGUAGAACCAGCUCACUCUUCUCCAUCACGCCAUCUAGCUUCUACCUCCAGAAUUGCAAGU